CAAUAGCGUAUAUUUAAGUUGUUGCAGUUAAAAGCUCGUAGUCGGAUUUUGGCUGAGAACGAUCGGUCCGCCGUUAGGUGUGCACUGAUUGGUCUCAGCUUCCUGGUGAGGAGGUGUGCUUCACGGCCACUUAGUCACCGUGGUUACUUUGAAAAAAUUAGAGUGUUCAAAGCGGGCUUACGCUUGAAUAUAUUAGCAUGGAAUAACACCAUAGGACUCCUGUCCUAUUUCGUUGGUCUCGGGACGGGAGUAAUGAUUAAGAGGAACAGUUGGGGGCAUUCGUAUUUCACUGUCAGAGGUGAAAUUCUUGGAUUUAUGAAAGACGAACUUCUGCGAAAGCAUUUGCCAAGGAUGUUUUCAUUGA
rnacentral:rRNA from 1 species